rnacentral:tRNA from 1 species
GGGUCGGUGCCCGAGCGGACAAAGGGAGCGGGCUGUAAACCCGUCGGCGUUUGCCUGCGGAGGUUCGAAUCCUCCCCGGCCCACCA